ensembl:lncRNA
UUAUUUUAGCAUGUAAGUGUGACUUGGUUUCCAAUUGCCAAAGUGUGACAAGUUGUCUCAUAAACCUAUCACACUUCCAUGAAGAAGACAGCAGAAUUACAAAAACCAUGGGAAUCCCAUUCCUUCUCCUGUUAUGAUUAUCAAGGGAGGAGCAACCAAAGUGGAGCAAAGGUCUUACAGGUGGAAGCCCUGUUCUCCUCCUCUUCAGGAAGAGCCCAGGAAGAAGCUACAGUGGGGUAACUCUGAGUAACUUGUUCAAGAUUUUUUAAAAUACUUGGAUUCAUCAGGACGAGAUUUUCCAGGGGGCUCUCUGACCCGAUCCUGUUCACUCUCAUUCUUUGGGACAAGGACAGCUUUGGCAGUGAGUCUAGAUGCCAAACCCACCAGCAGGCAAGGGGAUCUAUCUUGGGGUGCUUAGCAUUGUACAGCUCAAAGUGUGUGGCAACUCACUGUGUACGCAAGCUUGAAAACAAUCAGCAAUCUUCUUCAUUCAAUUAAACACUAACCAGCCUAGAUGCCAGAGAGAAGGGCAGGGUGGCAUCUUCUCUGAGAGCAUCUGCCAGUCCUUCCACACAGCAUGAGACUGGGUGUAAGAGACACUGCACUACUCUAACAAAAGAAUCCGGACGGUGGGAAAUCUGUGGAAUCUCUUCCUACACUGAAGAUGUUCUAAGAGAUGCUGGAAUUGAAGCCAAGAUCCAGCAAUGAAAAUGUAAACCUGGAGAGUGGCAACUUGAAGCCAUGGCUGAUACUUCUACCCAGAACCAAGCCGAUGUGCCUGCAAGAUUUGGGAAAUGAAACCCCUCAAAGAGGGGGGUUUGUUCAGACUGUACAUGAAAUAAGAGCAGAAAGAGGCAGCACAUGUCACUGGAUUCACAGCCCCUUGUCACUUGCCGAUGACAGGCCGCUGUCCUCUGGGAGCUUCCCCUGCCUGCUGGCUGGUGCUGGGCUCUGCUUGGCAGACUGGUGAGAUCCAUGUUUCUGGAGACUUAAGAUGCCAGGACCCAUCCUGCUCUGAAGCCUGGAUGGCCAGCUGAAGAUCUGACAGCCUCACCUGAAGGGAAAACAUCUCUAUGGCUGGGUCCCUCUCUCCUCUGGGUAUCAAAAAGUAGAUGGAGGAUCCACCGCAGGGAGUGUCUGAAACUCUUCUGGGACCACUUGGCGCCCCUCAAAUUAUGGGCCAAGCUAAAGAAAUGAAAACCAGAUGUGGCCCCAAAUGUGACAGUACUUGCUCGUAAUUAUAAUGAUCUUUAUGGACUCUUUAUUGAGCCUCAAAUUGAAGUUUAGUGAACAAUUGCCAAAAGAUGUGGGGUUUCCCACGGUAGAUGUCACAAGGAAGACAGCAUUCGAGCUGAGUCCC